rnacentral:rRNA from 1 species
UAUCUCUGUAGAGUCUGCAUAUCAAUAAGCGGAGGAAAAGAAACUAACAAGGAUUCCCUUAGUAACGGCGAGUGAAGCGGGAAGAGCUCAAAUUUGAAAUCUUCAAGGUUCUACCUUGACGAAUUGUAGUUUAAAGAAGUGUUUUCUGUUAGAUGAGUAGUAAAAGUUCCUUGGAAUAGGGACAUCAUAGAGGGUGAGAAUCCCGUAUUUGGACUAUUCAUUUCUAGCUUUGUGAUACACUUUCAAAGAGUCGGAUUGUUUGGGAAUGCAGUCCAAAAUGGGUGGUAAAUUUCAUCUAAAGCUAAAUAUUGGCGAGAGACCGAUAGCGAACAAGUACCGUGAGGGAAAGAUGAAAAGAACUUUGAAAAGAGAGUUAAACAGUACGUGAAAUUGUCAAAAGGGAAGCGUUUGACACCAGUGUUGUUUUUCCGAAAAUCAAUUAAAAAUUGAUUCAUGCCAGGUUGUAUUGACCUUAUCAGCUUGCAAUUUGGUUUUGGGUCUCUUUUUGAUGCACUUUUCGGUUAACAAGUCAACAUCAAUUUCCUUUGCUGUAAAAAGGUAAGAGGAAGGUGGCUUCAAUUUCGGUUGAAGUGUUUAUAGCCUUUUAUCUCUGCAGUCGGGGAGAUUGAGGUCUGCAGCGUAGAUCCUUCGGGGCUAGAUACAUUUAUGCUAAGUUAUAGCUUUUCAUAGACAACUUGUUGACUAUGUUUAGUCAUGUAGCUUACUCGUAAGUGCUAUUUUACCUACGCUUAGGAUGUUGAAGACUCUACAGAGAUA